rnacentral:sRNA from 1 species
UGACUUUACCGGUUCGGGGGAUGGAGGU